UUUUUGGAUUAUCCCGAUAUUGAAUUAUUACGAUAGGGCGAUUUAACAAGAAGCCCUAUACAUAUCCAUAGUCACUAUUAGUAACUAGUCUCUACUAGCAAUUACUAGGCACUACUAAUAACUACCAGUGACUAAAAACAUUGGCCUUUUAAAUAUUAUAAUAUUACGCACAGGAAUUUUAAAAUUCACUAAGUCUAGUACUAGUAGUUCUAGUUUUACUAAGCCCGAGAAAGGAUGAGUUUGUUCAGUGAUGCAGGGUCCCAACAAAGUCCCAGAACAAAGACCAAUAUAUUCAAGUAAUGAAGGAUCUCCUUAGGCCCGAUGUCAAGAAGGGUCUUAAAAAUAUUAUGUCCGACAGUCUAGCGGCGGAAAUAAAUAUUGACGGCGUAUGGGGGAAAGUAGCGUUAAAAAAUUUUAAAAAUUUGUAUGCUGCUCUGCUUGAUUCUAUUGGGACUGGAGUGUCUGCAGACCGCGAAUUGCGCCAAGCAAUGCAGAUCGCGAAGAAGCGUGUUUUUAAAUUAAGAAGC